GACAACUGACAAGAGAAUGUGUGAACCAGAGAGAAAAAAUGGUUUGAGCACAGAGCAGCGUGUACUUUGUAGUUCUGAAUUUCAAAUUCAAAAUUGAAAUAAUUUAGAUUGUUACUCCAAUCAACAAUUUACGUCUACGUAGGAAAAACAAAAUGUGGAUAAUGGAUAUUGCAAUCGAUUUUGAAAACUUGUAUUAUUCUUCUGUUAUGAAGCCCUGCCCUACUACCUCAAUUGCUCAAAGGGUUGACCUUCCAGUUUUGCUUGAACUUUGUAGCCUCUUAUUCCAUAUGGCAGACUGCUGGUUUUUUGUAUAAAACCAUGAAGCAAAUUGAAGAUUGGAAAUUUACAAUGAUUCGAACUACCUGCUGGGAAUGCCAGUCAACAAAAGAAACAGAAAACAAUUUCACUAAUCAAAUUCCUAUUUAAAUAGUAAGAAGUUUAAGGAGGAUAACAGACUGCAUAGAAAAAUAGAAAAUAAGCAAGAAAAAUUGUUUUACAAUGCAAAUUAUUUGUCAAACGGCAACAUUGCUUGCCAAAGUUCUCUUUUCAAGUCCAGCAAGCACAAGAUCUAAAAAUGGCUGUGCUGUGAAGUCUCACAGAAACUAUUUGCAAAUUUGGAUUGCAGUAUGGAUGUAAUUAAAAUGAAAGAUACAUAUUCCAACAUAUUUAUUUGUUUGGAGACAGCAGUUGAGUGAUAUAAUUUCUUCACAAGGAAUAUACUGCCCGCUCACACAUCUAUAAGCUGAUUCCAUGGUAUGCCCACAACUAUUUGCAGGGGUGAGACACAAUUAAACUCUCAUUUGUCAUCACUCAUCAACAAGUAGUAAGUGUUGACUGUUGAAUGUUCAAUUCCAUUUCCCUGAAUCGAUAGUAAAGUAUGUUGGUUAUUUUU